CACGUGUUUGUGGGGCUUGGGUGCUGAUGGUCAUGAGGAGGGCUGUCCUCCAGGCCAGGGCCCCUGGGCCCUUCUUCCAGUC
rnacentral:miRNA from 1 species